GAAUGAGUGACAUAGAAGUAUCUCGAAAAAAAGAGGGGGGUUAACAUGACUGACAGGGGCAGGAGGCAGCACCAUGGGAUUGACGUAUCCAUAUAAGGGCUUAGGGGGAGGAACAAGGGACUCCUCACUUUGAUGGGCAGGCCAGUGGUGGGAAAAACGGGGGAAAAACAACUUUGGAACAAGCCAUCAUAGGGGGUUUACACGAUGGGGGGGGGGGGAAGGAACAAACCAUUACUUAAACUAACAAAGAAUAAUUAAUUUUCAUAACAACUUCAACUUAUACUUUUUAAAACACGCAAUGCCACACCCUCCCACACUGCUCUCUGUAGAGGACUCUUGCACGGAUUUGAGCUUUUCAGCUCCAUACAGAUGAGCCUGCAGUGCCUUAGAGCUACCUUCAAGCAACAUAAUGGGGACAGGGUUUUGAUCUCAAAGCCAUCCAAUCUAUAAAAUGAACAGAAAAUGCCAGUGCUUGUUCAAAUGAAACAAACAAACCCCAAGUCAUCUAUAGGAACAGAGGAAGCACAGUAGAAGGAGAAAAGUCAUGCACAAUGUACACUAAAUUGCUCAGGGGAAGAGAUGCUUCCGCUAAAGACACAUGCCUGAGUCAUAUGCCUAAUGCAUAUGCAGCACAAAAAAUUAAACAAGAAGGAGCUUACAGGAAACACAGCAGCAGACCUCUGCUGAGAAGACAAGCAAUACUGCAGAGCUUUGCAACAAGAUUUCAGGGCUUUGGAUAUGACCUUUGGGGGUCAAUGCUUGCUGAAACCAUCAGUAACUGUUGAAAAUCUUCACAUUUUCUUUGGAACCAGCUGCUGAUUCUGAGACAAAAGGCCUUAUACGGAAAUACUUAGCAGUGAAGACCUAUCAUAAAUAGUUUCCAAGCAUAUGUUAGAGGAAUAACAUAAGGUUUGACAGAAUUAUUUCCUAGGAUUUAUAAUAGAAUUAGACACUGUUGAAAAAGACAAAGGUGUUUUAUAUAGAAAUGGAUUAAUAAUACAAACCAGGGCUGACUGAUACAGUUACAGGUACAGUGAUAUCACUCAAUGAGUUCUUUUCCAAAAGAUAAUAUUCAAACAAUUUUCUUUAUUAUUGCAGAUAGAAGAAUAAGUAAAAAGUGUUGUCUAGUAUUUUGGACAAUUCUGAAGUGAUUAAUUUGUCUUUAAAAAAGUAAAAUGAAAGGAAAAUUAUUGAAAGCUCUCAUUCUUCCUAUUGAAAUCAUAUAAUUGGAUAUUCUUUCUGUUUCUUCAGUUACACAGGUUGUCUGAUUUUACAUAGUAAAGGGAAAUGUGUUGGCAAGAAUAAGUUUAAUAACAAGGUUAUAUAAACCAUGUGAGUCAAGGUUUUUCAUGUAAAUCAAAGGGAAGAUAUUUUAAAAUCAUUCCUUCAAUGCAAAAAUAAUGCCACUACACUGAAUCACAUGAGACCAAAUGCAUUACUUAAAGCUCAUUGAAAAGUCAGAGUAAAUACCAAUGGCAUACAACUCCCCAGUCCUAAACUGUCUGGAAAGUUGCCUGAGUAAGGACUUUAGUUUUUGUUUUGAGCUAAAGUCCUACUUCAGAGAUGGAUUCUGAAAAAAUUCUUUCUAUGAAGUGAAACUCAGAUGAAAAAUAGGUCCAAAAGCCCACAUUCUGAUGGGUCUGAGGAGGUGGGUGCUCUGCCCUCAUGUGUUUUUGAGACCACCUCAGUAAAAGUGUCUCUGCCAAGGUGGAACAUGAUGAUCGCUAACUGGCCCCUGAGGUCUCAGAGGAGGUUGCUUGAGGUAUGUGUAGCACAUCAGUUCAAUCAGGGCCACUGCAGGAGGGUGCUAUAUCAGCAGGAGGCAUUACUUUCCAGGCUUUUUGCUCUAACUAAAUUCAGCAGCACAGCAGUUAUUUCCCCUGAAGUUUGUUGUCUUGUAGAGAUUGCCUGUGUUUAAAAGAUGGGUUUAUGAAAUAACCGGAGCGAAGUAAUUCUCUCUCUAAAACACAUCACUGACAGGCUGCUUUUUGCCCUGAAACAUGAUGCUCUGUCUUCUUACAUGUUCUAUUUGGCUGAUUUAUUACACAUCCUUUAGGUGAGAGAAAACUGACAGU